rnacentral:rRNA from 1 species
GUUUGAUCAUGGCUCAGAACGAACGCUGGCGGCAUGCCUAACACAUGCAAGUCGAACGGGAUCCGGACUUCGGUUCGGUGAGAGUGGCGGACGGGUGAGUAACGCGUGGGAACCUGCCCAAUGGUCUGGGAUAACCGCGGGAAACUGCGGCUAAUACCGGAUAAGCCCCCUGGCAACGGGGGGAAAGAUUUGUCGCCGAUGGAGGGGCCCGCGUCAGAUUAGGUAGUUGGUGGGGUAAUGGCCUACCAAGCCUACGAUCUGUAGCUGGUCUGAGAGGAUGAUCAGCCACACUGGGACUGAGAUACGGCCCAGACUCCUACGGGAGGCAGCAGUGGGGAAUAUUGGACAAUGGGGGCAACCCUGAUCCAGCAAUGCCGCGUGAGUGAUGAAGGCCUUAGGGUUGUAAAGCUCUUUUGGCGGGGACGAUGAUGACGGUACCCGCAGAAUAAGCCCCGGCUAACUUCGUGCCAGCAGCCGCGGUAAUACGAAGGGGGCGAGCGUUGUUCGGAAUUACUGGGCGUAAAGGGCGCGUAGGCGGCCGAUCUAGUCAGAUGUGAAAGUCCUGGGCUUAACCUGGGGACUGCAUUUGAUACUGAUUGGCUUGAAUGCAGGAGAGGAUAGCGGAAUUCCCAGUGUAGAGGUGAAAUUCGUAGAUAUUGGGAAGAACACCGGUGGCGAAGGCGGCUAUCUGGACUGUGAUUGACGCUGAGGCGCGAA